UAGACAAACAAAGUUAGGUUGGAAUCCUUGUGUAAAAAUGCAUGAAAUAAACAUGUUGGAAUAAUGGUAGGCUAGUCAAUUUUCUUGUUCAAAGUUAGGCAAGUUAGGCAAGUUAGGCAAGUUAGGCAAAAUUAGGUUUAUGUUCUUUUUCUUUCCUAUAUAUAUGUUUCAUCUUGUAAUUGUUCAAUCAAGCAAAUAUACAUCAAAAUUCUACA